rnacentral:rRNA from 1 species
AGGACGAACGCUGGCGGCGUGCUUAACACAUGCAAGUCGAGCGGUAAGGCCUUUCGGGGUACACGAGCGGCGAACGGGUGAGUAACACGUGGGUGAUCUGCCCUGCACUCUGGGAUAAGCCUGGGAAACUGGGUCUAAUACCGGAUAUGACCUGCUCUCGCAUGGGGGUGGGUGGAAAGAUUUAUCGGUGCAGGAUGGGCCCGCGGCCUAUCAGCUUGUUGGUGGGGUAAUGGCCUACCAAGGCGACGACGGGUAGCCGACCUGAGAGGGUGACCGGCCACGACUGGGACUGAGACACGGCCCAGACUCCGUACGGGAGGCAGCAGUGGGAAUAUUGCACAAGUGGGACGAAAGCCUGAUGCAGCGACGCCGCGUGAGGAUGGAAGGCC